rnacentral:rRNA from 1 species
GUGUCAGCAGCCGCGGUAAAACGUAGGACGCAAGCGUUAUCCGGAGUUACUGGGCGUAAAGCGCGGGCAGGCGGUCUUGCCAGUCUGAUGUGAAAUCUCUCAGCUCAACUGGGAGCAGCCAUUGGAAACUACAAGACUGGAGUCUGACAGAGGUAGGCGGAAUUCCGGGUGGAGUGGUGAAAUGCGUAGAGAUCCGGAGGAACACCAGAGGCGAAGGCGGCCUACUGGGUCAGUACUGACGCUGAGCCGCGAAAGCCAGGGGAGCGAACGGGAUUAGAUACCCGAGUAGUCC